rnacentral:rRNA from 1 species
GAUUAACGCUGGCGGUAUGCCUCAUACAUGCAAGUCGAACGAGAAGCCAGAAGCUUGCUUCUGGUGGAAAGUGGCGUCCGGGUGAGUAACACGUAGGAACCUACCCCAAAGUGGGGGACAACCUGUAGAAAUACUGGCUAAUACCCCAUGUGCUUGCAAUUUCGCAUCUAUUAUUCAUAGGUGUACGAGUUGUGCGUAAAGCUUUUGCGCUUUGGGAGGGGCCUGCGCUCGAUUAGCUCGUUGGUAGGGUAACGGCCUACCAAGGCUAUGAUCGAUAGCUGGUCUGAGAGGAUGAUCAGCCACACUGGCACUGAAACACGGGCCAGACUCCUACGGGAGGCAGCAGUAGGGAAUUUUCCGCAAUGGGCGCAAGCCUGACGGAGCAAUACCGCGUGGUGGAUGACACCCUUUGGGGCGUAAACACCUUUUUUGAGGGACGAUAGUGACGGUACCUCAAGAAUAAGCAUCUGCUAACUACG